AACCGUGAGAAAUGCAUCAAAUGGAUUCGUUACUAAAAGAGUUGACGAUGCAGGAAACCUGAUCGUUGGAAUCUACAUGAGCAGAAAAUACAAUUUUAUCAAUGAUUUACCACUCACCAGUUUAAGCAGAUAAACCGACUCUAAUAACUCCAUGCGGUUGAACUUUCAACAUGUCAUAAUAGACAUGUACAAUAAAUAAGAAAGACAUACAACCAACAUCCGCUCCUUCCAUUUAUUUUCCUCUCGCAACACCAAGGCAUAGGUUUCCUGCACUAUUCUUCAAUUCUCCAUUAUCAAGAUCUAGAGUAACUAUAAGCACCUCGUCCAAAGACUAUAUAAUAAAGCUGCCACAGUUUGUGAAGUUUCUAAAGUUGCUGACAGUAAGAAACACAACAGGUUUAAAUUCACACGGAAAAGAGUAUGUUCUAAUUGAAGGGUGUAAAUAUUGAUUGUAUAAAAAUAAAUAUCUUGGAAAGAAUUUUCACUAGAAAAACAGAUAUAUGAUCCAAUUACGUAAAAAUAUCUGUACAUAAUGGAUGGUCUUAUUGCAUCAGAAACUUCACCAAUAACCAGAGGUUUCCGUUUUCAACAUCUUAAAAGUCAUCAGAAAUCCAGUGAAAGUAAUUAGCUUAGGAACUAGUUACUCUGUCACCUGACUUGAAAACAGAUAAAAGUACUAUCGCUUUUAUUUAGAUAAAAUAAGUUUUUAGUGAAAAAGAUAUAAAAAAAAAAAAAUCAUGUGGAGGAUUCCACCCAAAAGAAACUCAAAAGAAAGGCUAAGAAAACAAAUGGAAAAAACUUUCAGGCAUCAGUGAAACAUAUCUGUCAAUCCCUAUAAAGAUCUGACAAAAAAAUUCAAUUAUAAUCUUGCUAAAAGCACAACAUAUCUUAGAAGUCUUGACAAUGAUGCAAAUUUUGGUCCAGGUUGGUGAAGCUAGAGUGUGAAAAUCAGAUAACUCAGGGAUAUCACGGGUUUUCAAAAAUUUACUUGAGGGUAUUCUUGGAAGUUAAGAAAAAUCACUAAUAUGACGGGACAAUCUAUAGUAUAAUAAUCAAUCUGAAAAAGUUGUGGAUUAUGCAUGUUUUAAGUUAAAAAUUCUUAAAAUUACUUCUCUCUAUAAGCUACACCAAACACAACAAUACCAGCUUAUAGUAAGGUAUAAACUAUGAUCCUGUAACCUAGCUGCACCAAACAGGCUUCAUCAACUUGAAAUAAUUUUCUCUCAUCAUCUCGUCUUUAUAAUUCCUAAUAAUCCAUUCCUCCCAGUUUCCUUCUCUUUCAUUGUCAAGAUUUCAUAACAAACUAACAAAAAUAGCAACCCAUAGUGAAAAAUCUCUGUUGCAAGUGAGAUGGAAACAAGUACGGUCAUAAUGACCAACAAAAUAUCUAUUUUGUAGAAGUAAAACAAAGUUAGAUCAAGAAGUGAAUGGCGAUAAGAGAAGAUAAAAAAAAGACAGAAAAGGCAAUAUACUAAUUUAAUAUGCCUCACCUAUAGAAAGUGAAAGUUCUAUGUUUUUACAAAACUAUCUAAACACAACUUACACCCUGUACAAGUUAUUGAUCAUAUUAGAAGGAGGGGGGGAUGUUUAAGACACUACCGUAGUGAUGGAGCAUAUUAAUUCAAAAUGAAUAAUGCAGAGCUAAAGAUGAAUAGUUCGAUCUACGUACUAUACACAAAUUCCUUGAACUUCAUUAUCAAGAAUUGGGUCAUUCUAUCAAGUGCAGAGACCUCCUAGACUCCUAGAAAAUGAAUAUCUGCAUCAUCAUCCAAAUCUCGCACAAACAAUUUUCAUAUGUGCACCAAAACAUAGCAUGUCAUGAAUAGGAAUUUAUAAUAUUAGUUAAAAGAAUACAACUGCAUAAUACAUAAAACAUUGUACAUUAUCAAUAUAUAUUAAACAAGGUAUUAUUAUACCCAAAUCUACAUCCUACAUCUACAUCCUUCUCUCUCUCUCUUUCCUUUUUUUUAAUGACAAGUAAACUGCAUCCUACUCUCUUGGGGUUUCCAAAUCAGCAUGUUCAUGGAGUUGUUGCAAAUAAAGGAAGCCACUGUCAUAGAUACCGGAACAGCAUCAUUUAAUAUCAUCCCAUAAGUGUUCAUAUAUGAUAUAGUCCCAGAUGUGCAAAUGCACCCCAAAGUUGUUAACAUCUCCGUUGAUUGUCCAUGAGAAACCUAAGGCAACAUUCAAACUCUGAAAUUCCAUUUCCCAAAACAAUUAAAAGGAGUUGAAAAGUAAAUUCAUUACUACAAAGGUUCUCUUUCUCUUUCCCUUUUCUAUCCAAAGAAACCAGAGGAAAAAAAAUCAAACCACUGAUAUAUAAAAUAAAACCGAUCAUAAAAGUCCAACCACCAUUACGCUUGUGUAUAAAAUUCAAUAAGAACAUAGAACAGGGUUAUUAAUCUGCACUGAAACAAAAUAAAACAAAAUUUUAAACGAAUCACCCUGAACUAUAAAACAACAAAAAUUGAUGUUAGAUCAAACUUUUUUGGCUGCAAAAAAAUAAAACCAACAAGCAAUAAUACAAUAGAACGGAAAACAUAACAAAAUACAAAAUGAAUCCGGCAGUGACUCAACGAAAUCGAUAAGUAUACAAAGAUACAACUCAAUCGAACCAAUUAAAUCGACAAAUUCAUCGGAAAACUGGGAGAAAUAUGUAUAAUUUUUUGUGCCGGAUAAGCGUACCGUUAGAGGUUGAAUUAAAGGCUGACGACGGCGAGUCAAAUUGAUCAAAGGGAAGAGAAGACGAUGAGAAAGAUAACAGAUGGCUUAAGGAGAGAAGAUUCUGGUUUUCGCAAAGAUAAUUGGGGGAGGAGAGAGAAAGGGAGGAGAUUGUAAUGGAAAGAAAGAAGUUUUGUUUUUUUGAUAUUCCCAACCAACA
rnacentral:lncRNA from 1 species